rnacentral:lncRNA from 1 species
AUCCCUGGGCCUGGGCCUACCUAGGUGAAGACAGGCAUUUUUGUUUUCCUGCCCGGAUGUUGCAUUUCCCAAGACCACCCUGGCCUGCCAUGCCCUCAUCCUGUGCCUUUAAAAACCCCCGAGACCCUGGCAGGCAGACGCACAAGCAGCUGGACAUUGAGAGGAGCAUAUAGGCAGAGAAUACAGGGGCUGCUGGAUGUCGAAAGGAACGCACCAGCAUAGGAGCACACCGGCAUGCUGGCAGGCCAUUGACCAGCGGAAGAAUGCAGAGUUUGUCGCGGGAGGUCAGAGAAGAGUCAGGCCGCCAUACCUGACUCCAGGAGAAAACCGUCUCCCUUCUGGUUCCCCCGUCUGCCGAGAGCUACUUCCACUCAAUAAAACUUUCCACUCAUUCUUCAAGCCCACGUGUGAUCCAAUUCUUCCCGUACACCAAGAAACAGGGUCUUGCUCUGUUGCCCUGGCUGGAGUGCAAUGGUAUGAUCAUAGCUCACAGUAGCCUUGAACUCCUGGGCCCAAGCCAUCCUCCUACCUCAGCAACCAGAGUAGCUGGGAUUACAGGCGAAUGCCACCACACCUGGGUAAUUUCUUUUUCUUUUUCUUCUUGUUUUUAUUAGAGAUAGGAUCAUGCUAUGUUGCCCAAGCUGGUCUUGAACUUCUGGCCUCCAGCAGUCCUCCUGCCUGAGCCUCCCAAGUAGCUGGGAUUACAGGCAUGAGCCACCAGUCCUGGCAGAUUUGUUAAUUUCUUUGAAUUAUUAUAUAUUUUUAAGUUUACUUCCAUGUAUUUGACUUUUUGUGUGCUUAUAACUGGUAUCUUUUUAAAAUUUCAUUUUGUAAUUGUUGUUGCUGGUGUAUAGAAAUAAAAACAAUUUUCAUAUAUUGACCUUGUCACCAGCAAAUUUUCUAUAUUUACUUAUUAGUUGUAAUGUGUUAUCUGUAGAUUCUGUUAGAUUAUUUGCAUUCAUUAGCAUUGAUUAUGUAAUGGUAUACAUUGGAGCUCAUUUCAUCUUAGUAAACACAAAGUUGGAUAAUUCUUUUUAAUGGCUAGUGAGUAUUUAUAUACUACAGGUCAGUGGCAUGGUUAGUAUGGAGACUGUAGGGUCAGACUUCUGGGUUUGACUUAUGGUUCCACCAGUUAUUAUCUGAGUGACCCUAUUAAUGUCACCCACGUCCCUAUGCUUCACUUUCCUUCAAGGAAGACUCAUGCAUAUGUGUUGCUCUUACCAACACUGUUUCAGUGAAUGCUCUUGAGUAUGUUCCUUGUUUAUAUGUUGUGUAUAAAUGGGUGUGAAGUUCUAUAUUCAGAUAUUUCUCUGAAAUGGUUGUACUAAUUUACACUCGUAUCAGCUGUUUGUAAGAGUUCAUAUUGCCUCACAUUUUUGUCAGCACUUGGUAAUGUCAACCUAUGAAGGGUUUUGAAUCAAAAAGAUUUUGAAAAUCUUGUCAAACUUAAACAUUGGCAAAUUAAAAAAAUAAUAAAACAAUGUUUCACUUUUA